rnacentral:rRNA from 1 species
AGUCGAGCGAUCUUCUUCGGAAGGGAGCGGCGGACGGGUGAGUAACGCGUGGGUAACCUGCCCUGUACACACGGAUAACAUACCGAAAGGUAUGCUAAUACGGGAUAACAUAAGAAAGUCGCAUGGAUUUCUUAUCAAAGCUUUUGCGGUACAGGAUGGACCCGCGUCUGAUUAGCUAGUUGGUAAGGUAACGGCUUACCAAGGCGACGAUCAGUAGCCGACCUGAGAGGGUGAUCGGCCACAUUGGAACUGAGACACGGUCCAAACUCCUACGGGAGGCAGCAGUGGGGAAUAUUGCACAAUGGGCGAAAGCCUGAUGCAGCAACGCCGCGUGAGCGAUGAAGGCCUUCGGGUCGUAAAGCUCUGUCCUCAAGGAAGAUAAUGACGGUACUUGAGGAGGAAGCCCCGGCUAACUACGUGCCAGCAGCCGCGGUAAUACGUAGGGGGCUAGCGUUAUCCGGAAUUACUGGGCGUAAAGGGUGCGUAGGCGGUCUUUCAAGUCAGAAGUGAAAGGCUACGGCUCAACCGUAGUAAGCUUUUGAAACUGUAAGACUUGAGUGCAGGAGAGGAGAGUGGAAUUCCUAGUGUAGCGGUGAAAUGCGUAGAUAUUAGGAGGACACCAGUUGCGAAGGCGGCUCUCUGGACUGUAACUGACGCUGAGGC